rnacentral:rRNA from 1 species
GUAGGGAAUAUUGCGCAAUGGAGGAAACUCUGACGCAGCGACGCCGCGUGGGUGAUGAAGGCCUUCGGGUUGUAAAGCCCUGUCGGAAGGGACGAAAAACGCGACAAAUAAUAAGUGUCGCGCUUGACGGUACCUUCAAAGGAAGCACCGGCUAACUACGUGCCAGCAGCCGCGGUAAUACGUAGGGUGCAAGCGUUGUUCGGAAUCAUUGGGCGUAAAGCGCGUGUAGGCUGUUAGGUAAGUCGAUUGUGAAAUCCCUGGGCUCAACCGAGGAAGUGCAGUCGAAACUACCUGGCUAGAAGACGGUAGAGGAAGGUGGAAUUCCUAGUGUAGAGGUGAAAUUCGUAGAUAUUAGGAGGAAUACCGGUGGCGAAGGCGGCCUUCUGGGCCGAUCUUGACGCUGAGACGCGAAAGCGUGGGUAGCAAACAGGAUUAGAAACCCCAGUAGUCC